rnacentral:lncRNA from 1 species
UUUUUUUUUUUUUUUUUUUUUUUGUUGUAGUGGCUGACAUAGUGUAUUUUCUCCAUGGUUUCGCCAUCUGUGCUAAUCAAAAAAAUGUUACCCUGGCACCAAUAUUGAGAUCAGUGAGUGAAGUCCAUCAUGUGGCUGAAGGAUGGAGCAGGUUCCUUUUCUGCCUUUCCAUUUUAUGAAAAUUUGAGAGAAGGGAAGCAGUGCUGGGGUCUGAUCCCUGAUGCUCUGUGUGCUGUCAGUCUGAAUUCAGCCUCAUCCAGCAGAAAAUGUGGAGAACACUCUUUCCCAUCCAUCAGAGCCGAGUGUCUUAGAUUUCUUCCUUCUGCCUCUUGGAGGAGGAGUAAUCCCAGCACAAGAAAAUAGCUGUGUUGUGGGAAUUACUGGCUGAAAUGAAGAGUACACCUCUUGAGCUUUGGACUGCAGCCUGAGCUUUGGACUACCCUUCUUCACCGGAAACUUUGAUGGCCGAGGAGCAGAUGCUGAAAUAGGAGUGUGAACAGCUUGAAAUGCCAAUGAAGCCACGUGUUCUUAAGUCAAAAUAAAAUGCUGUUUCAGGAUUGAUUUAUAGAGACCCAUCCAAGCAGUUACAGUUGACAGAAGCAUUUUAGAAAGGCUCAGAAUUUCAAGUACCAUUAAACAAUAUUUUAUGGGCUUCAAAGGAUGUAUCCAGGUGCUGCCAAAGGCCAGAGAGUUCUUUCUGCCUGGUCUGGAGGUGCUACUUUUUUUAAUGCUAAGCACUUCUAUUGGCUUAUUUUUUCAUCCUGGGUGCUUCUGGUGUGUUUUCUUAAGGUGUCUUUUUUUGUGAAAGCCAAUGGCAUUUGAUUCCUGAAAGGUGGCAGAGAGGACUGGUGUGACACUGCAGGCCUGGAAGCUAACAUGUGAAGAAGACACGUGAGCAGGAAAGGAGCUGAAGUUGUGGGUUGUUGGUUCUUUGGUGGUGUUGUUUUUUGAGGGUUUUUUUUUCUUUUUUGAGCUGGAAAUCCCAUUAUAGAUGGCAAUUUUGUAGGUUUCAACAACUUCCAAAAAGAGAUUUGGGCACGAGGUUUGUUGAGAUUCAUGAGAAAUUAAAAACAAGGCAAGGAUUUCAGGUCAUUUAGGAGUUUCUGAAUCCUGUGGGACUGAGUGGCAUUUCAUCUCCUGAGCACCUCUGUGCAACUCAGUCCAAGUGUCUACAAACUGUAGAGCAGAUCAUGCCACAGGUGGCAUGGAUGAGAGAGCAGACUCCUCUGGGACAAUUCCUGCAGUAAGGAAGGGGCUGUUGAACUCAGGGCUCCUGUCUUGGCUGCUGUGGUAGAGAACAGCCCAGAUCUGCCAUGGGGAUU